ACACAUGUACGUAUGUACAUACAUAAAUGCUUUUAAUCGGAACUCGUUGCGCAAUUAGGUGUGUUACCGUCGACCGGACAAGAAGGCAAGCGGAGAAAACGGGUCGUGUUCGGCAACCAAUUAUCGACCGAACGAUUUGGUCGGUAACGAGUUAUUUCGAACACCCAUCUGUACCUAGUCUCUGUGUUCUCGACACAAAGAGGUCUCUGAGUGUCCGAUACGUUCGAAACGGUCAUUUGUUUAUCGACGCUCCGUUUCAUCGUCGACGUCAAUGCGUCUAUAUCGCGGGCUAAUUUUCAAACGAACAGAGCGUCCCGUUUCUUCGACGUUCUCGACGCUCGAGAAUCGACUUGAUACGAGUCAACUGGCACGGCGCGAUCGCGCCUGUGUCUACAGGAAAUGCUUCGUCCCCUAAACGCGUUAUCCACUUUGUAAAGUGGAAAAUAGCGUCCGCCUCGGGCGAACAACGAAAGACCGUGCACGCGCGAGCGUAAUUGUACAGGAAGCUUUCGGCGGAACUCGAAAUUGAAAGUAAUACGUCCGCUUUGCGAAAAUUGCCAGGAGCCGAGAGGUCGGCACGAUUUCCGUCUUCGAGAGCGCGAGCGCAUCGACCUUUCCCUUCCUUUCUUUGAACUUUCCAACGAUUCGUGUCAAGGUUUCUGCCGCGUUUUUUCCGUGAACGCGUUUCCUGAUACGUACUCGCAACCGAGAUAUCGAUCGAUAGACGAACAUCGAGCCCUGCCCGAGAACCUGGGCCCUGAUCCACACGCACGUCACGGAACGUUGACCGGUGAACGCGAGGUAGAACGCGAACGCUCCAGGGGACAGCCAUCUCGUGCCAGAUUAGAAACUUUCUACUUUCGUGUUUUCGACGUGUCGCUGCCGUCGAAUCGCGCUUCCGUGAAUGGAUAGUUUUGGUAACUAGGUAGGUUAUUUACUCCUUGGUAUAUAUCCUCGGACAGUUGCGCUCUGUCGAUAUUCGGCUGCCAAUAUUCUCGAUAGUAAUGGGAAAUCGCGUUGAUCGAGCAACGAGCACCGCGGGGAAAAACACAAGGAAUUAUAAUUCGCGGUACACGCGCUACCAACGACAAAGAUCGAUCGGUCCACGGGUAUCGUUGGAAUUCCGCGACGAUUUGCGGUGUUCUAUCGAUCGAUCGUUUCCGCCUGGUUGCCUGUUUGUUAUUGAAUGCGCGUGCUUUAUCCAUUCGUUCUACGAGAAAACACGGCGAGGAGAGGACCGGCGAUUACAGAGGAGAGCGUUGUACGAGCCGCGUAAUACAUUAUUCAAGAGAAGUGGAUGUGGGAGAGGGUUCGCGUCUAAACGACGAAGCACGACACGCUCGUCUCCUCUCCCAACGAGAACUUUUAUCGAAAUCAGAGAAUUUCUUCCUUUUCCUUAUUCGUGCUUCUCUCCUUCCACGGUCUUCCUUCGAAAAACACACUUUGAAAAGGUUUAGGGUCGGCUGGUGAAUUCCUACCGCGAAAGAGGAAACGUAUGGUGAACGGUUUUCAGUCGAUUCGAUAUCAUUGGAAGCAAGGUCGAUUUACGAGCAAAAAAGUUUGUUCGAUACAUAUUUACGAAGCACCCACGCGCGCUCCGUCACGGUCACAUUUUUCCAAGUCGUUAAUCGUUCGAACGAGGUACGAUCGUACGCUCUCCCCGCGUUCAUUCCGGUUUUCCUUAUCCCGGGCGAUUGAGUUCUAAAGCGCUGGUUCUCGUAAAACGACGAGUCGAGACAAGACAUGGUCGAGCAUCGUUGUGAAAGAAAGAAAACAGACUUUCACGGUUGUCGAUAAGAUAGGUGGACGUUGACAAGAUUUCGAGGCUCGUCGACUCUUCGAAUACGUUGUUGCCAUGACGCUUCGAGUUAGUUGGCGAUUAUGCAUCCGGUAAUUGAAAAAGAAGGUCCGAUAGUCGGCCAGCGUCGGUGGUCACGUAUUUUCGCCUGUAUAUACGUAUGUACGUGUUGUCGGCAAGACAGCGAUCGUUUCGAUCGCGCGUUCUUCCAAAUUCCUGGUCGCGCAGAGAAUCGAUCGAGGCGAAAAGUGAAACGAAAUCGACGAUGCGCGCGGCUCGUUUCGAUGGACGGAUCGAUAAGGGCUGGCCGUACGAGAAGACGAAGUUUUCGACGAGAGAACAAGUUGGGAAACGGAACGCGCGUUAUCAUCGGAUGUCUCGGAGAAGAUAGAUGGACUCGAUUAUGAUCGAUCGUCGACGCGCGGUGGGGUCGCCAUCGUUCGAGUAUCUCGUCAGGAUCGUUGGGAAAUCGUUGGUUCGUAAAUCGUUCGUUUUAAAAAGGUACGGCGAAACGCGAUAAAAGGCGAAACGCGUGUAUCUUAUUUCCAGCGAAGGAAAAUUAUUUUCAGUCGUGCCAUGUGUCCCCCCUUCGUACCGUCACGUCGCGGUACAAGAUUGCGACGCAAUGCCCGUAUUCCGUAUCGCUAAUUUCACCGCAAGUCUUAACGCACCAAGGUGAUCGCGCGAGAUAGCGUGACGGUGGAACGUUUAGGACUCGCGGUACAUCAUCCGUGGCAUUUUGUCUCCGAUUGCGUUGGUCGCGGACAAAGAACGGCCGUGGUAAACGCGCAACAGCCCCGUGGAGGGUAACUUUCGGAGAAAGCGAGGGAAAAGCGUAGAAAUGCGCCCGCGAGCGUGCAAGCUGCGCGCGGUAGACGAUAGCUCGGAGCAGGGCUGGCUGGCCAGUUCUCUCGCUAGUUUAACUUCGCGUCUGUACUCGUAGGUGCUCGGUUUGGUUUUUUAAUUCGAGAUAACGAGGGAGCAGGAAUGGUUAUGCAAAUACAGCGUUUCUAGUUACGUAAAGCAAACGCGUUCGUCCGUGGCUCGAGUUUCUCCUGCGGCGUGGAACAAGGAGCGGCGAGAAUUCGCUAUUACAACGAGAGAGUAAAGUCCCGGUAACGAUCACCGGAAU